rnacentral:rRNA from 1 species
UUUUCGGAUGGAAGCUUGUAAACUUAGUGGCGGACGGGUGAGUAACACGUGAGCAACCUGCCUUUCAGAGGGGGACAACAGUUGGAAACGACUGCUAAUACCGCAUAACACAUAGGAGUCGCAUGGCACUUAUGUCAAAGAUUUAUCGCUGAAAGAUGGCCUCGCGUCUGAUUAGCUAGUUGGUGAGGUAACGGCCCACCAAGGCGACGAUCAGUAGCCGGACUGAGAGGUUGACCGGCCACAUUGGGACUGAGACACGGCCCAAACUCC